ensembl:lncRNA
CAAAAUUUCCCGCCUGGGCUGCCUUGCGUCUGUUUCAAUAUAGACCCCCCCUCCCUCGGACAGUCGGGGAUGAGUGCGCUAACAUACCUGUAGGUUGCUGUUUUAAUGAGUGUUUGAUGGAAAACAAGAAUGGCGGAGUUUGCGUUCUCCAGUCGCAUGAUAGGAGCCGCCCUUUGCUUUGUUGACAGCACUGCAGACCCUCGGCCUUCUUUCUGUGAGCUUCAUGAUGUCGUCACCUGAGAUGGUUUCACCUCACAGGUGUGCCUGUCAGGGGUCAUUGGUGGAGUUUCUUGCCUUCUUAAUGAGGUUGGGACCAUCAGCAGGACAAUGAGCCCAAACACACCUCCAGACUGCGUCAGGGCUAUUUGACCAAGAAGGAGAGUGAUGGAGGCCUGGUCUCCGCACUCACCUGACCUAAACCCAGUGGAGAUGGUUUGGGAUGAGAUGGAGCGCAGAGUGAAGGCAAAAGGGCCAACAAGUGCCCAGCACCUCUGGGGACUUCAUCAAGACAGACUAUAUAUAUUUUAUAAAUAUAUAUAUCAAAUUAUUCAGCGAUGAAAGAAAUUAAUGGAUCAGGGUCGCGGGGGGCGCUGGAGCCUAUCCCAGCUGUCAUAGGGCGAGAGGCGGGGUACACCCUGGACAGGUCGCCAGUCUGUCGCAGGGCCAACACACAGGGACAGACAACCAUUCACACCUAUGGGCAAUUUGGAUUAACCAAUUAGCCCACACACACAGCCCAGCAGACUUUUCUGGCUGUUUGCUCAUUUGCACAUUUAGUAUAAAACACUGGUAUCUGACAAGAGCUGCUGACAAGCUGCCACUAGUUUUACUUUCACUGCACUGGGAUCAGUUACCAUCAGCACCUUGUGUGGAAAUGAAGCUAGCAAAUAAACAAAGCAGUCUGUGAUUUACCAUCUUAACAUAGGUUUCCUCUCACUAACCACCAAAGCCAACAUGUGAGAUGUAAAAGGCUUAGAGCGGGAUGUGAAAAUGAAGUCUUUAAUAGAUCCUUUAGCACAUCACCAAGUGCCUUAGCUCCAGCAGUGUCUGGUUAAAUAAAACAGACAAAAUGAACCAGAUCCACCGACAGAAUAGCAUCUCUGAGAAAUCACAACCACAUGUUUAGCCGCAUGUUCUCCUUAAAUUGCUGGCUGUCUGAGUGGUGUCCCAGAAACGAUGUGGGCUUCAUAGAUAAUUGGCAAACCUUCUGGAGGAAACCUGGUCUUG